rnacentral:rRNA from 1 species
ACUCCUACGGGAGGCAGCAGCUAAGAAUAUUCCGCAAUGGACGAAAGUCUGACGGAGCGACGCCGCGUGGAUGACGAAGGCCGAAAGGUUGUAAAAUCCUUUUGCUGGGGAAGAAUAAGCAUGGGAGGGAAUGCCCGUGUGAUGACAUGAACCGGCGAAUAAGCCCCGGCUAACUACGUGCCAGCAGCCGCGGUAACACGUAGGGGGCGAGCGUUGUUCGGAAUUACUGGGCGUAAAGGGCAUGUAGGCGGUCUUGUAAGCCUGGCGUGAAAUUCCACGGCUCAACCGUGGGAAUGCGUCGGGAACUGCGAGGCUUGAGUGACGGAGAGGGAGCUAGAAUUCCUGGUGUAGGGGUGAAAUCUGUAGAUAUCAGGAAGAAUACCAAUGGCGAAGGCAAGCUCCUGGCCGAUGACUGACGCUGAGGUGCGAAAGUGUGGGGAUCAAACAGGAUUAGAUACCCUGGUAGUCAACACGGUAAACGAUGUGCACUAGGUGCUGGGGCGGAUGCUUCAGUGCCGGAGCUAACGCGGUAAGUGCACCGCCUGGGGAGUAUGCUCGCAAGGGUGAAACUCAAGGAAUUGACGGGG